UAUAAAGUGGCGAACGGCUGAGUAACACGUGGGCAACCUGCCCUUUGCACUGGGAUAGCCUCGGGAAACCGAGGUUAAUACCGGAUACUCCAUAUUUGUCGCAUUGCGAAUAUGGGAAAGCUCCGGCGGCAAAGGAUGGGCCCGCGGCCUGUUAGCUAGUUGGUGGGGUAGUGGCCUACCAAGGCAAUGAUGGGUAGCCGGGUUGAGAGACCGACCGGCCAGAUUGGGACUGAGACACGGCCCAGACUCCUACGGGAGGCAGCAGAA
rnacentral:rRNA from 1 species